rnacentral:rRNA from 1 species
GACGAACGCUGGCGGCGUGCUUAACACAUGCAAGUCGAACGGAAAGGCCCUGCUUUUGUGGGGUGCUCGAGUGGCGAACGGGUGAGUAACACGUGAGUAACCUGCCCUUGACUUUGGGAUAACUUCAGGAAACUGGGGCUAAUACCGGAUAGGAGCUCCUGCUGCAUGGUGGGGGUUGGAAAGUUUCGGCGGUUGGGGAUGGACUCGCGGCUUAUCAGCUUGUUGGUGGUGUAGUGGCUUACCAAGGCUUUGGCGGGUAGCCGGCCUGAGAGGGUGACCGGCCACAUUGGGACUGAGAGACGGCCCAGACUCCUACGGGAGGCAGCAGUGGGGAAUAUUGCACAAUGGGCGGAAGCCUGAUGCAGCAACGCCGCGUGCGGGAUGACGGCCUUCGGGUUGUAAACCGCUUUCGCCUGUGACGAAGCGUGAGUGACGGUAAUGGGUAAAGAAGCACCGGCUAACUACGUG